AGAAAUGGCAACAAAGAGCAGCCCUCCACAGGAAAAGGAUCUCAUUUCAGAGGUCGAGUUCUGGUGGUAGCAGCUCAACGUCAUUAGAUAAGGGUUGCUUUGUGGUUUAUACGGCGGACAAAGCCCGCUUUACUUUUCCAAUAAGUUACCUGAGCAACUCUGUUUUCCAAGUACUCUUGAAAAUCUCUGAAGAAGAGUUCGGCCUCCCCACCGAAGGACAAAUUACAUUGCCAUUCGAUUCUGUUUUCUUGGAGUAUCUUAUCAAAUUGGUCCAGCGACGAAUGGAUGAAAAUACAGAAAAGGCUUUGUUAAUGUCAAUCUCUAGUGGUAGAUGUUCUUCGCAAUGCUCUUUGCAACUACAAGAUCAAAGUAGUUGUCAACAUUUGCUUGUAUUUUAGAGUGUAGCAGUUUCUGUAUUAGAUAGAAACAACACAUGUAUUUCUUUGCGUCUGUCUAUUUCUCUGAUCACAACUUUGUCCCUGAUUUCACCAAAGAUUUGUUGUCCCCUAAUAAUUACUUGACCUAAUAUUUUUGUGAUCACGUUCUAUUAGAUCUACUAACCAACAUGGGACCCCUUAUGCUAAUAAAAAACGGUGUAAAAAAGCAUGAGUCUGGUAGUUUUUGGCUUCUCUUGUAUAUAUACAAGUUCUCAACUUCUGUUGUAAGUAUAUAUAUAUAUAUUGUAUCUUGUUAUAUAAAUACAUAGCUUUCAUUCCCGCAUGAUCAUGUCUUCUCACCAUAAGCUUUAUAGUCCACAAUUUGUUUUGCACAUACAAUUGAUUAUGCCAACUUGGGACCAUCAUAGAUCAGAUAGAGUAGAAACAUAGGCAUGUGCUGUGUCUGGUUAGGUUUCUGAGGAGCUUGUCAUAAAGCCUGUCAAAACUAAUAGUUUCUCCUCCUAUAAAAUGAAACAAGGCAAUGGUAUUUUCCAUCAUUCAUUUCUGUCAUAACUAUCAUUCACAGAAUCACAUAGAGCUCUACAUCAGAACUUACAAAUCUGUUCUCUUUCUUUCUCCUUCUUACUUUUUGGAUUAAAUAUUUUUUAGAAAAUGAUAAUGAACACAAAGAAGCUAAUCAAGAUGGUCAAGAAAUGGCAACAAAGAGCAGCCCUCCACAGGAAAAGGAUCUCAUUUCAGAGGUCGAGUUCUGGUGGUAGCAGCUCAACGUCAUUAGAUAAGGGUUGCUUUGUGGUUUAUACGGCGGACAAAGCCCGCUUUACUUUUCCAAUAAGUUACCUGAGCAACUCUGUUUUCCAAGUACUCUUGAAAAUCUCUGAAGAAGAGUUCGGCCUCCCCACCGAAGGACCAAUUACAUUGCCAUUCGAUUCUGUUUUCUUGGAGUAUCUUAUCAAAUUGGUCCAGCGACGAAUGGAUGA
rnacentral:lncRNA from 1 species